CUUUUACACUUUCAACCAAAGGGAUUGAGCAACUAGGUGGUAACAGAUGCGCAAUGUAUCCUAAAUAUAUUUGGACAGAUUGAUUAGUUAGAUUACUUUCAUCAGAGAAAUUAUGUGAAUGCUAUUGUUGGCAUAAACCUGUCUAUACAGCUUAUAGGGAAUCACAGACUUUGUGUGCCUGUACGAAUUUCCCGGAGAGCCGCCAUGGGCGCUCUGGUUGACACCACCUUCUUCACAUCUUCCCUGGCGAGGAAAACGUUGCACACACGGCUUGAGGAAUGAGGACCCUCCCUCUCCUUCAGAGGAAUGUUUAAUUGCAAGUAGUAAAUCUUUCUUCCCGUCCAUAUCUUGACAGAUUUGGCCACCAAAUUAUUCAUCUCGAAUACCUGAAACUGCAAGCAUCAGACCAAGCUAAGCAUCAUAUUCAAAGAAUAUGCAACUUUCCUACAUGAUUCAGUUUCUUUAAUUUCCUAUUGCUGAACUGUAUAGCGGUUUUUGUUCAUGCAUUUGGGUUCUAUAGUCCUACAUUAGGGUUCUGCUCAGGGGAUUUUGUUCAUGCAUGAUUCACUGUACAAUAGGAUUUGUUGAGAAUUCAUAAACAAUAAAAGUUUCCUGCUUGGGUCACAAUUACUCAAAUAGCAGCGGGCUCGGCCUGCGCUGGCGGCGGCGUUGUCCCUCUCCUCCGUCGAGCGGUGGCGCAGGACGCAGCAGGCUUGACCUAAGUCGGCGGCGGGGCUUGCCCCGACACACCAGCCCAAGCGACGCCGCUGUCGAUCCAUGCACGCCGCCUAUCCUGACAUGCCUCUGGCCAUCAAUUCCGAUGUCAUGUGGGAGCCUUCUCAUCCGUGUAGGUUCUCCUCUGCCCACGUCUCGGGGCGACCACUGCAGCCGAAGCUGAUGCGCCCCGUCGGCUGACGCGCCCACCUCCCUGAUAUUUCUCUGUGUACGGGAUUGACCUGCGGUUCUGUUGGUGGUCUUCCCCAUCUUAGGCGUUUGGACUUGGGAGGCAGUGGAUCCGAGAGGCACAGGGUUGUUUAUUCAUUUGACUAUGGUGCCGCUGCUGUUCUAAACGACGCUGCCGACGAGCGAUGAACCAUCUGGUAAUGCAAAUCCUUGUGCCUUAGUAGUGAUGAGUAUCCGUCUAUGAAGGCAAAUCAUGUCUACUUACUGAUGAGAAUAUCCGUCUAUGAAGGCAAAUCAUGUCUACUUAUUGAUGAUAGUGUGCGUUUGACAGUGUGUUGAGAAUAAUUGCGGUGAUAUGGAAAUUCUUAACUUGGAUAAUAACACUAGGGGCGAACUUGUGUCUGCUGAACUUUGUGUUACGGACCUUAUUCAAGCAGAGGCAAGAAUCAGCUUCCAGGGUCUCUCUUCCUUCGGGUACAGGAAGAAGGUGGGUGAGUUGCAGAGGGAAGCGGGGUUGGGAAGAGCCUACCGAGUCGAAGGAGGCCACAAACUUUUUUAUCUUCCGGGUUGGACUUUGCCUUCUUCAGGUUGGUCGACUGACCCAUUUGUUUGAUGCUUCAUGCACUUCUCUUCGUCAGUUAACUUAGUAUUUCUUCAACUGUUGUUUUUCUUUGUCAGUUAACUCCUUCAGUUUGCGUUCUUGUCCUCGGUGCAGACAACCUUCUAUUGCAGGUCUCUACCACUUUGGUCCAACAGCCCGACUACCAUGCAUGUGGAUCACACGUGAUUAGAAAGAUGGACAUGGCUUUGACUAAAUAGUUUUGUGUUUUUCUUGGUUUAUCAUUGUUCUAAUCAUGAAGUUUGGUAGGUGGUGGCCGUUUAAUAUAUAUAUAUCACUUGGGUUUGGAUAAUACACUUUACCAUACAUUCUGUAUAAAUGCAAUGCCUAUGUUUUUUAUUUCUAAAGUGAAUUCAUAACCUGAGAAUACUAUGAUGGGGCUAAUCUGAAUAUGGCAAUCCAUGAUAUGUCCUGAUGCUCAGUUUUAUUGACAUUACCAAGAGAAAGAAUACUUUGAUGUAGCAUAUCUGCAAUGUUCAUGUAUGGUGACCAAGCUCUUCUUUUUCACUACUCGCCAACUUAAGUCAGUAUAGUUCACAUUUCAUCUGAGCCAAUUCAGAGAUUAAUACAUGAUUUCUUCCUCAAUUUCUACAUCAGAUCAUCUAAAAAUCUAAAAAUUUCUUAUCCAAGUAUUAAUCUUCGUUGUUCAGAAUUUGACUAUGUAAGUGUGUGGAUGUGCUGAACCAGACUAUAUCUUCCGUGGUUGCCACAUCCUAACAUAAGCUAAAACAUUCUUAGCUAUGGAUCUUCUUUCUUUUUUUAGAGUAAUAGUUGAUUUGUUGUUUCAUACUAAUGCCGUUUAAAAUAUAACUAUGUUUUAUUCCUCAGAGAGCAAUCAUACAGGGGAAUAUAAUGUUGUGUUUGUGCAUCCUCAUUUGGCAAGAGUUCAUAAUACUAUUUGUCUCUGUAUGACAGUACUCAGCAUUAGUUGAUGCAGAAUAUGUCUAUACUUUUACCAAGGAGUUCUAAUGAUUUGAGGAUUGCAUAUGUGCAGCUCAGACAUUGCUUCUGUACACCACUAAUGAUUCGAGGAUUAUAUUCUGCAAGGAACCAAUUUUUAAUGGCCGCGGCAACCAUGAUCAGCUUCUCAAAAAGCCAAGGUGCUAGGUACAAAUCAACUUAAUGUUUAUUUGAACAAACACAGAAUUUUGCUUGAUCUUCAGAUAGAGGCAUCGAUUGGGAGGAACCGAUAUAGGGCGCCGCGGCUGGUAUCCCAGUGCUGAUCCUCUCCGAUUAGUUUCCCUGCGCUUCACCUUCCUGCACGCUUUUAUCAAUACGACGAUCUUCUCCCUUCGAGUUCUGCCAUAACAAGUGCCGCAACUUGCACCUGAUCUGCCAUAGCUCCUACAGAGCCCGCGGGGUCGACAGCGUGGAGCGCAUCCACUCGGACUACGGCCGCAGCCGCGCCGUCGUCAAGAUGCUCUGGUCUGUCCAGUUCACGUGUCGCAAUAGAGAGUACCGCCUCACGGUGUUCCUGCAUGAUACGGCAUGGAGGACCACUUGCACCCCUUGCUGUGAUCCUGGUACAAGGCCCGCUUCUGCCACGGGCCGCUGCUGUGGCAGCAUCUUCUUCCCCAGUAUCGACGACUCGAACAUCACCAGACAGAGCAUCAUGGGCGGCAUCUCCAUCCCCUCCGCUACGGCAAGGAUUUGGCCGAGGAUGUUGACGAGCAGGCGUUCCUCAGGGCCAACAAUGGUGAGCUGUUCCAUCUCUGCUGCGCGGGGAUAGAGCUCGUCGUUAUGACAUCCGGCUGGUAUGUGGUAGAGGCCGUGGCGGAGGCAAAGACGACCUCAUCAUUGUUGCCAAUAAGGACAUGAUCUCAGUUCAAAUGCAUGUGCCGACGAAACCUUUGGUAAAAUAUAAUAAGAGGUAGUAAUUAAAUUUUCUCAAUGUAUCUAUGAUUUUUUAAGACAUAAUAUAAUAGAUUGAACAUUUAGUUUACAUGUACUCAAAUUCCCUUUAGUUUAUUUGUACAGGUGAUGAGCUUCUUAUUU